GGUACACGCUGUGACUAGCAUAUCAAUAAGCGGAGGAAAAGAAACUAACAAGGAUUCCCCUAGUAACGGCGAGUGAAGCGGGAAGAGCUCAAAUUUGAAAUCUUAAAGGGUUUCCCUUUACGAAUUGUAGUUUAAAGAAGUGUUUUCUGUUGAGGUUUUGGUAAAAGUUCUUUGGAAUAGGACAUCAUAGAGGGUGAGAAUCCCGUAUUUGACCCUUACUUUCAACUUUGUGAUACACUUUCAAAGAGUCGGAUUGUUUGGGAAUGCAGUCCAAAAUGGGUGGUAAAUUUCAUCUAAAGCUAAAUAUUGGUGAGAGACCGAUAGCGAACAAGUACCGUGAGGGAAAGAUGAAAAAGAACUUUGAAAAGAGAGUUAAACAGUACGUGAAAUUGUCAAAAGGGAAGCGUUUGACACCAGUGUUGUUUUUCUGAAAAUCAAUUAAAGAACUGUUUAUGCUAAGUUGUUUAGACUUUAUCAGCUAACUGUUUAAUUUUGAGCUUUUCUUUAAUGCACUUUUCAGUUAACAAGUCAACAUCAAUUUCUUUUGCUGUAAAAAAGCUUGAGGAAGGUGGCUUGAGAUUCGUCUUAAGUGUUUAUAGCCUCUUGCCUAUGCAGUCGGAGAGAUUGAGGUCUGCAGCGUAGAUCCUUCGGGGCUAAAUGCAUUUGUGCUAAGUUAUAGCAUUUUAUAGACAACUUGUUGACUAUGAUUUGUCUUGUAGCUUACUCGCUUAUGUUAUUUUACCUACGCUUAGGAUGUUGAAGAUGUAGCACAUCAU
rnacentral:rRNA from 1 species